rnacentral:rRNA from 1 species
CCUACGGGAGGCAGCAGUGGGGGAUAUUGCACAAUGGGGGAAACCCUGAUGCAGCGACGCCGCGUGUGGGAAGACGGUCCUCUGGAUUGUAAACCACUGUCCCCAGGGACGAAGAUGACGGUACCUGGGGAGGAAGCGCCGGCUAACUACGUGCCAGCAGCCGCGGUAAUACGUAGGGAGCGAGCGUUGUCCGGAAUUACUGGGUGUAAAGGGAGCGUAGGGGGGACUGCAAGUUGGGUGUCAAAUCUACCGGCUCAACCGGUAGCCGCACUCAAAACUGCAGUUCUUGAGUGAAGUAGAGGCAGGCGGAAUUCCUAGUGUAGCGGUGAAAGGCGUAGAUAUUAGGAGGAACACCAGUGGCGAAGGCGGCCUGCUGGGCUUUUACUGACGCUGAGGCUCGAAAGUGUGGGGAGCAAACAGGAUUAGAUACCCUUGUAGUC